AGUGAACGCUGGCGGCGUGCCUAAUACAUGCAAGUCGAACGGAGUGGCGCACGGGUGAGUAAUGUAUAGCUAAUCUGCCCUCCACUAGAGGACAACAGUUGGAAAAGGCUGCUAAUACUCUAUAGUGUAGGAUGAGGCUAUAUUGUAUCAGCUAGUUGGUGAGGUAAUGGCUCACCAAGGCUAUGACGCAUAACUGGUCUGAGAGGAUGAGCAGUCACACUGGAACUAAGACACGGUCCAGACUCCUACGGGAGGAGGCAGUAGGGAAUAUUGCUCAAUGGGGGAAGCCAGGAAGCAGCAACGACGCGUGGAGGAUGACACUUGGCGGAACGUAAACUCCUUUUGUUAGGGAAGCGGUACCUAACGAAUAAGCACCGGCUAACUCCGUGCCAGCAGCCGCGGUAAUAC
rnacentral:rRNA from 1 species